rnacentral:lncRNA from 1 species
CUCAUAAAAAAUCCUUCCUUCUUAGAUCCAACUAUGGAAGACAUUUCCAUACUCGAUCAAAUUUGGCGGAUGAAGCAGUUCCUCAGAAGUAGAUCCUUCCUAGAUCNAGUGGUGGAAAACAUUUCUCUGCAAGAUCAUAUUUGGUAUCUUUCACCCUGACUUAGGGAAGUUUUCUUUUCUCCUUCCUUUCUCACUUUUAUUGCACUUUGUCCACAUCUGUUGAUUGUACCGAUUGUUGAUCUCAUGAUUAUGACACACUGAGGACAUUGUGUAGUUUAAGUGUGGUCUAUUGGGGGAGAUUUUCACCUUUUAUUUGUUUAACUUUCUUUUCUUUCUUUAGGUUUUUCUGUUUCCAGGUUGUUUUUCUUGUUUUCCUUAUUUUUGUUUUGUUUUAAGCUUGUGUCUGUGUACAAUUUUGCAUGUUUCUCCUGAUUUCUAGACUUUGUUUAGGUUCUAGAUUCUUCCUUCACUUGAUAGAUACAAAUUGGUUUGAAAUCCUUGCUUUUCUUUGCUUGGAAACAUGAUUAUGAUGUUUGAGAGGUUGAUUGAUUGUGACAAAUACCGUGUGUAAGGAUUUGAGCCACUUUAUGUUCUUUCUUAUGUGAUAUACCUCUUGAUUGCUUGCACAUGUGCCUUGGCUUGACUUUUUUUGGUGAUUCGUGAUUGAUAUGCAUGUUUGGAAGUGAUAAAGGCAGUUUUGUUCUAAAGCCUCUCUAGCUAAAUAAGCCUACCUUGUUUUGAUCCUAUGAUAACCCUUGUUGGCCUACCUAUUCUUUGUUUUCANGCUCAUUAAUUACCCUUAAGUGAAAAACCAUGAUUAUGUGAACCUUCGGGAAUUUUGGAGCUUUGGAAUUGUUUUGGGAAUAAGUGUGGUCUUCCUAGGGAUUCUUAUGAAUUGGCUAGUCAAUUUUCUUGGCUCCUCUAGUGCUUGUUGUGUAAAUAUGUUGUGUAUCUUGUCUUUUACGGUUAUGUUCUAAAAAAAUUGAGAAAACAAAAGAGACAAGAUAAGAAAAGAUAGAAAAAAUCACAAAAUAGAAAAAAAAAAUCAGAAAAAUAAAAAAAGAUGUGAAUAAUGGAGUCAAAAGGAGGAUUGAAUUAGAGGUUUUGGGUGUAAUUUGAUUGUGUUUUCACUUGCUCCCCAUUACCCUAAACACAUGAGAGAAACAAUGAUAAUGCAUCUAUGAGGUUCUUCUGCUUUAGAUUCACCUCUUGAGUUGUGUCAACACCCAAUUUCGUCCGGGAAAGUAAAUAAUCAAAAUUAAAUAAUAAGAGAAUAAUAAUUAAUGGUGGGUAAAGAAAAAAAAGGAAAAAUAAAAUAAUAAAAUAAUCUUCCUUAAUGCAAGACACAUCAUUUUAGAAUGUUUUUGAAAUAUUAAUUUAAUAUGGUAAUAAUUUGAAUUAUAUUGUCUGACAAUAAUUACAAUUAAUGUCUUGCAUAUUUAUUUGAUUUAUUUGAUUGCAAUCAAGACUAUUUCUUUCCUUAUUUUGUCUAUUGUCAAUUAAUUCACUUUUAAGGCAAGAUUGUCAUAAUAUUACAAUAUAUGCCUAUAAGUACACACUCUGGGGAAAGAAAAAGGGACGGAAAAAAUAGAGGAAAACACUUAUAAAUAUUAGAGAUUGAAGGAGAGAGUAUAGAGAAAAAAUAUGUUCUCACACAUAAAGGUUUUGUGAGCAACAAUCACUGAGGAAGCACUAAGGGAAUUCCAGAAGCUAAAAAGGUAUGUCUGUACUCCUAUUCUUCUCCUUUUAUUAUACUUUAAAGUUUUCUUCCAAAUAUUUUUUUUUUUUUACACACAGACAAUGUUUUCUUAAAAUCAUGAUUUUUUAAAUAUAAGUGUGCGUUGACCUAUGGCCAGUUUCUUUUCUUCUUUUUCCACCAUAUUUUUAACACGAAAAAUACAAAACUAUUUAAAACCAAAAAAAGGUUAAUUUUUGUUAAACUAAAUCUUUUUAUCAAAAUUACG